CAAAAUGGGGCCUAUGGUCCUAAAGAGGAACUUGGGACAGUGAAGCCCGCUAAACCCUACAAUAAGGACCUUGCUUACCCUGUGGGCAGCACACCUCCAGAACUAGCUGAGAUUUUUUACUCGAAAUAGUCCUGAAGUCCUGCUUCUGCACAGGCUUAGCCUUGCCAGAGCAGAAUAGCUCAUGUACUAAGUUCUGUUUGGAUCUGGGAAUGAAGCAUGUGGUGUCUCUCGCCUGAGAGGCUCAAUCGAAUAGUCAGUCUUAGUGUAUAACUUAAAUCAAGCAUCACACAAAAUGCAGCAGUGGUUACUUCUGUGUUUCAAAAUGCUGUCUCUGCAGGUGGGAGGAUACAGCAGAGGGAAAACAUUCUGGAUACAAUCUAAUGUCUCUUUAGUGAAAUACUGUCCAGACUGUUUAUAUAAUAUUAUAGGUGAAUUUGAGGUCUUGGCUAGACCUCUAGGUCAGAGCCAAAAUAUUUUCAGGAACUUUUUAAAUUGCAUAUGUGGUUUUUGGUUGCUGGGGUUUUUUUAAUCUUUGCCAUAUUUGUUUUGGAGCAUAAAGGGUUUGGUAUCCACGGUCAUUAAUGCUAAUAUCAUCCAGUAGUGUGGAUGGGGAUGCUUCCUCUAAAGAUACAUACAAACUAUGUAAGAAUGAGGUGUUUUCUUGUUGGAGAAAAAUGUUAAAGAGUUUUAAGCUUAAGUUUAGGGGGGAAAAAGUAUUAUUUUAAAAAAUAAAAGUGUUUUAAUAUUUGAGUAAGUGUUCUGCUUUUCUGCAGUAUUUAAUGAAAUACCCUUUUCUAUGUUCAAAAAAUCGCAGACCUAACUUUCUUUACAGUUUACAAAGGACACUGCUUUGGAGAUGGAAGUUUAUAAACAAAGGAGCUUUGAAAUGGCCUGCCCUCACUCUGAUUACUCCAAAUGGUUGACCUUAGCGUAUCAUUUAGAAGAAACUGUGGCAAGCUUGUUGCUGAUAAAAGCUUGCUAUUCUCCAGUUGUAAGGAAAGUCAUCUUUCUUAAAAAGAGCUUAAAUAAUUAACCAGUCAGGCAUUUGAAAUGCCUAGGACUCCAUUUCUUCUGGUUAGUAACCUGCAUCCCAGAGGCUGGAAUACUGUUCUCUGAAAUCAAACAUUGCAGUGAGCUGAUUAUACCUGAUACCAGAAAAUCAUAGAUCCAAAUUAAACGGAGUGCAUGAAGUAAGCACUGACUGUGAUGUUCACAUGAAAACACAGCCAAGUUAUGCAUGAGUAAUAGGGCUGCUAUCAGUGCGAAAACAUAAUGGACUCCUUUUUUCCAUCCUUACUUAUCACAGACAUGAUCUGGCUGCACUGAUGGCAGUGGGAAUCAUCCAGUCUGCAUACCGAAUGGAAUAUCAAGUAUCUGCACAUGAGUGUUAUCCACAUCGGCAUGUGGAAUAAGGUGACAGAUAGCAUAAGGAACAGUGACAGAACUGGACCUGCCAAGGUCUUUUAAUCCAGCUGAAAAGUUUCAAUGCAAGACAGCGUGUGGGAAAGCAGAACUGUAAGCUACUUCUACACCCUUACAGUGCCAGAGUCAGUGAAGUCUCAAUGGUAAGUCUGGCUGUAUCUAACUGCCUUCAACACAGAGGACAAACAGUCUCACCUUCUAGGAAAGCCCUGGGCUCCUUGUGUCAGCAGUUCUCUGUGGCAUAGUGUAAUGAUGUCAUAUUGUAAUAAGAUCUGUAGAAAAAAAUUCUAAUAGAGUCAAGCAACUGCAUAAUUUUGUUCUAAAAAAUCUGUAUAAAAUAUUGGUUAGAUUUAAGUUCUAUGACUUUGUUUGACACAGUCAAACAUAUGGCUUUUACACAGCAAAUGUAUCUUGUCUUUACCCAAACUGUUUUUAUUGCAAAAUCUGUUACUCGACAUACUGUGGUCAAAAAAUGAAUUAAUUCUCUUUCACAUUCUCUCUCACACACUUCCUAAGCAAACAGUAAAAGUUAAAGGAUAGCAGCUCAGUAUUGUUUACUGUUGCAUGGGGCUAUGUUAGUUUAGGUAUGCAAAAAAGAGAAAUACGAUAAUGUAUAUUUAAAAAUAGGAAUGAAAAAAAAUAUAAUCCAGAACUUUCAUUUCUGUGUUCUCAAAUGUCUUUUCAAAUUAAUGUCUUUGGCGUUGUGUGGACUUGGUAAGACACCAACUUGAUUUUUUUUUUUUUUUUUUGCACAAUGAAAUACAGUAUUGCAGACUGUGAUAGAUGUAGUUCUUGAAGCAAAACAGAAUAAGUAAGGGAAAAGUGAGCAUUCAGAACAGAGCAGAUUGUUGCUUGAAUUCAUCAGAGAACAAACUACAUGCCAUUGUAUCACUGCCUAGAUCAGAAGACGAACGUAACUGGGAUUUCCAAUACCCUGCAGCUGUGAACCAAUAACAUUCUUUUCUUCUUACAGUUGAAACCCUGCAUAGUAACAAUUCCAGCAAAACACCAAAAGCAUAGGAGGCAGACAAAUCUAAUUUAUUUCUGAUACCCACUAUUUGCUUUAGGUCAUAAAAGCCAUCUUUGUAUCAAGCACAGUUGAAAAAAUAAAAUGUUUCCACACCAGAAAUUCUGAGAUAAUCUAUACAAGGACAUUUGUAAUUCUGCACGUCAUGCUGGUAAAGUUGGGACUUGCAGACUUACAGGAAAGAGAACAGCUACUUGCUCUUUUCAGGAAUCAUACACUCACAAAAGUAAGACUCUGAAUUAGUAACCUUUAAAAAAUAAAACAUAAUUGUAUGUUAUCACAUAAGACAUUCAAAGUCCUUAAGUCACAGAACUCUGUAUAAAUAGCAUUCGUUUGUGCAGCAGAGCAAGCUUAUACCUUUGUUUAUUAAAGCAACGGGCAUCUUCAUUGCCUGUGCUUUGACAUUAACUCUCAAGGAAGUUUUUUUCUUUUAAUUAUGUCCGGACAGAGGAAAUGAAUGAUGUGAUUUUGUGUAAGAAAUUCUUUUGUUCUGUCUCUGUUUUGGAAGCCUGCUUUUCUGUCACCAUUUUCAGCCUAGAAGUCAAAACAGAAAUGGUACUCAAAAGCCUCGCCUUUGAAAAUUCUACUCAGGUUUUACCAAUAUAAGUAGCUGCAGUUACUAUCAGAAAUCGCUUUUAGCAUUUGAAAACUUUGCUUGUUUCUCACUUCUUUGAGGAAAACCUUCUAGAAUUUUGAUGCUGGCAAGAAACAAAAUAUAUUACAUUUGGUCUUUGUGUAUGGUAAGUGUUCCUAUCUAAUGAAUUUUGUGAUUAUCUUGUAUUCUAGGUUAACAUUGUUGGCAAACUCCUACUAUUCAUUCUAUAAAUGUUGCAGUCAAAACUGCUAAGCUAACUUGUCAUUGUUAUCUUCUGAACAACUAACUACUUGAUCAUUAACAAUAGCUACACAUAUCGCUUUGCAUUCAUCAGAAGUUCUUUCACCUCAAAAUUAACAGUCAGAGCUAUGAAGAAAAGCUUAAAAAAAAAAAAAGAAACUUUUUAACCCAGUGGUUAAAUGAUAGGAGACUGUAAUAGAUUAAGGAAUGUUUGAGUGAUUCCUCAGAUAAUGUAAGGCAAAUAAUUAAUAAAGAAGGAACGUUAAGGGAAAUUCACAUAGAAUACGAAAUACGAGUGAAAUUUAUAGAUACCUGUUGAGUUUGUAUUUUUAAAAAUGUCUCAGCAAAACAGUUUCUGUCCACAUGAGUUUACAAACUAACCAGACAUGACAGAGAAGGAAAGCACUGCUACUGCCACUUUUCAGAUGGAUUCUAACUUGCCCAAGGGGAAUAAUCUAUAGCAGUUAGGAAUUAAAUAUUGAUCUCCUGACUGUCAGCCUAUUGCUGUAAUUACAAGAUAUUCUUCCCUUGAAAGUAUUGACUGAAAUGUUUUAUUAAAGACUGUGCUAGCACCAGUAGGGAACAGACCACACAAUCAAGUACAUACUAUUUGACAAACUUUUACGUUGCAAGGAUACGUAAGUUUUCUGAAAUUUAAAACAGCAGGCUAUUUGAUACCAGACUACAAGAAGAACUUUUAUAUUCAUCUAUUGUCUUAUCAAUAGAUUUAGAAUAUUUUAUGUAAGUGGAGAAGCAAUUACUACAUUCCUGUCUGUUUCUCCAAGUUUGGUCUAUUCAUUGUAGCUCUAGUUGUGAAAGUAUUUAGGUGAGAUAUAGAUCAUUCACUUUGGAUUAUAUUGCUGACUGUCUAUCUUUUGGCUUAAUUACCUUGUUUUAAAAAAUAAAAAUUUAUAAUUAGAUGCUCGCUGACAACAUCUUAGAGGACCUGCCUCUGAAUAACCACAAAGCCAAUGCAUUAUUCUCCUUCCAACAUUUUUCUCAAACUCAAAAAUGGUCUAACAGCCAACAGACUGAGAUCAUGGCCUGCCGAGUUGAUCAGUAUUAUCUAUUUUUUAUUAUUUUAUUAUUUUUAUUACAUAUUUUUUUUUUUGAGACGGCUCAUCUCUCUUCCAUAGGCAUGUGUUGUCUCUUAGCUACAAGAGAAAAUGAAUAGAGAAGUCUGUGCAAAACUUUCUACUAAGGAGAAAACUUAAAAGAAUAAUCAUUGGUCUAACUCCCCAAAUGGCAAUUCUUAUUUCAUGUUAAGAAUAAUUCUGAAUAGAAGGAAAUCAUUUUAAUCUGUGCAAAAUAUUUUAUUUAUGUGGAAUGUUAGAGUGGAAUUUACCUGAACUAUUCAUAGCCAACAGAGAGAAGCAGAACUUGCUUUAGCUGAUGUUUUAGACAUCUGCUGUAGAUUGAGAUUAAUUUUAUCUUAAAAAUGUGUCUCUGUUGGCUAUGAAGGCAACCAGAUCAACCAGACUUCUGCAUUGUAGAUAUCUGAAGUUAGAUGAGAUGAACUUCACUCACAGGCUCCACAGGAAGAGCUAAUGUGGAACAACUGUUCUGCACUGUCAUUUUAGCCUUUUAGACAGGUGCCUUUAUUUAGACUGGAAAAACCCUUUGAGGAAGAGACCAUCUUUUUGCUUGUAUUGCACCUGCAAACAAAAGGUUCACUCAUGACAGGCAAGAUGGUAAUACUUCUGUUAAUAAUAAAAAGCUGAUCUAAUGACUGCAGACUAGUACCCGUUAUAGAGUUAUGACAGUGUGUGUGGCUCAACUGCAGUUAGUAUGAUUUAUCAGUGUGUAUUUAAGCAUUUUGUUCAUUCUCCUCAGUUUUAUAUUUUGAAUGCAGUAAUGUAUCCUUCUGCCUAGAAAGCUAAAUGACCAUGUAACAAAACAGAGUAUUAGUCUAAUUUUGCACAAAGAGCUGCAGUGUACCAGGAAAAGAUUGAAAUUCUGUCUCCUUCAAAGUGUGCGGCAAGUCUGUCUUUGACUUCAGUGACAACAGAAUUUCACAUAUUGGGCACUGAAUCCAGUGCAAAAUACAGGUAUGAUAACAUUUCAUAUCAGCAUUUACUAGCAUUUGUCACAGAUUGUAUACUGAGGCUUCAUCACUCAAAAAGGAAGUAGAAAAGAUAAUUUAAAGAACCAACUUUGUGAGAAAGAAUAUUGUACAACAUGUAUACAAAGUAAGGUAAGUAAUACCAGGCUCUGUUGCAGGAACACCACCUUUUCCACUGUCUUCUUUUGCAGUCCGGCACUCUUUUGGUCAUCUGUUUUACUGCCUCCUUUAUGCUGGCUAGAUGAAUAAAUAAUUCUUAUUUUAA